rnacentral:rRNA from 1 species
CAGUAGCCGCGGUAAUACGUAGGGCGCGAGCGUUAAUCGGAAUUACUGGGCGUAAAGCGUGCGCAGGCGGUUAUAUAGGACAGAUGUGAAAUCCCCGGGCUCAACCUGGGACCUGCAUUUGUGACUGUAUAGCUAGAGUACGGUAGAGGGGGAUGGAAUUCCGCGUGUAGCAGUGAAAUGCGUAGAUAUGCGGAGGAACACCGAUGGCGAAGGCAAUCCCCUGGACCUGUACUGACGCUCAUGCACGAAAGCGUGGGGAGCAAACAGGAUUAGAUACCCGAGUAGUCCCUGUCUCUUAUAC